rnacentral:rRNA from 1 species
UACGUAGGGAGCAAGCGUUGUUCGGAUUUACUGGGCGUAAAGGGCGCGUAGGCGGCGUGUCAAGUCAAUUGUGAAAUCUCCGGGCUUAACUCGGAACGGCCAAUUGAUACUGUCAUGCUAGAGUGCAGAAAGGGCAAUCGGAAUUCUUGGUGUAGCGGUGAAAUGCGUAGAUAUCAAGAGGAACACCUGAGGCGAAGGCGGGUUGCUAGGCUGACACUGACGCUGAGUGCGCGAAAGCCAGGGGAGCAAACGGG